rnacentral:rRNA from 1 species
GACGAACGCUGGCGGCGUGCUUAACACAUGCAAGUCGAACGGAAAGGCCCUGCUUUUGUGGGGUGCUCGAGUGGCGAACGGGUGAGUAACACGUGAGUAACCUGCCCUUGACUUUGGGAUAACUUCAGGAAACUGGGGCUAUACCGGAUAGGAGCUCCUGCUGCAUGGUGGGGGUUGGAAAGUUUCGGCGGUUGGGGAUGGACUCGCGGCUUAUCAGCUUGUUGGUGGGGUAGUGGCUUACCAAGGCUUUGACGGGUAGCCGGCCUGAGAGGGUGAACGGCCACAUUGGGACUGAGAUACGGACCAGAGUCCUACGGGAGGCAGCAGUGGGGAAUAUUGCACAAUGGGCGGAAGCCUGAUGCAGCAACGCCGCGUGCGGGAUGACGGCCUUCGGGUUGUAAACAGCUUUCGCCUGUGACGAAGCGUGAGUGACGGUAAUGGGUAAAGAAGCACCGGCUAACUACGUG